UGAUCCUCCCCUUCUUUAUGUUUACCAUGGUUGUUUGUGCUUUUCACUAGGGGAAUGCUUGUAUUACUUUUAUCUUGGCUGCUUCUCCUUCAGAAUCUAUAUAUCUUGAUUAUUUUCUCCUCCCCGUUAUAUUACUUAUGUGCAAUUCUUCUCCUUGUAUUUGUUGAGAGGGAGUGUCAUAAGUAAAAUACAAGUCAGCUUAUUGUCCUUUUGGGCCUCAGUUACAUGAAGUAAUGAACAAAUGUGUGACGUGCCAUGCCUGCAAGAAAGAGCUUCUGUCAGUUGCUUCGGUUUAAUCAACCAAGUGAGUGCAGUUGCAAACCAGCUGUGAGGCUUAUAGGAGCACUUGCGCCAUCUUUGUAAUGGCAAACACCAUUCCCUUGAUUGUUGAUUAGUCAUCUUCUCCUCAUGAUAUGAUACUGGAAGGAUGUCAUGAUGGAACGGUUGCUUUAUGGAGGUCUCCACAAACUUGCCGUCAGAAGACAUUUUAAUGGCAUUGAAAAAUAAAAGAAAUAAGAGACCCACGGCCUGUACUUAAGGUCUAGGAUCUGCUAGGUUGGUGGAUCUGCGAGCUUGCGGUUCCUGUUGUUGAUCAACCGCUGCUUCGGUUCGGUGGAGGUUUAAUCAACCAAGUGAGUGCAGUUGCAAACCAGCUGUGCGGCUUAUAGGAGCACUUGCGCCAUCUUUGUAAUGGCAAACACCAUUCCCUUGAUUGUUGAUUAGUCAUCUUCUCCUCAUGAUAUGAUACUGGAAGGAUGUCAUGAUGGAACGGUUGCUUUAUGGAGGUCUCCACAAACUUGCCGUCAGAAGACAUUUUAAUGGCAUUGAAAAAUAAAAGAAAUAAGAGACCCACGGCCUGUACUUAAGGUCUAGGAUCUGCUAGGUUGGUGGAUCUGCGAGCUUGCGGUUCCUGUUGUUGAUCAACCGCUGCUUCGGUUCGGUGGAGGUUUAAUCAACCAAGUGAGUGCAGUUGCAAACCAGCUGUGCGGCUUAUAGGAGCACUUGCGCCAUCUUUGUAAUGGCAAACACCAUUCCCUUGAUUGUUGAUUAGUCAUCUUCUCCUCAUGAUAUGAUACUGGAAGGAUGUCAUGAUGGAACGGUUGCUUUAUGGAGGUCUCCACAAACUUGCCGUCAGAAGACAUUUUAAUGGUACUGUUGAAUCUGUUCCCACCAGAGCCCUCUCGUGGGCACGAUAUAUAUGUAAGUGAGGAAAACACAAACACCCUUGUCACUACUGGAGAGGAUGGCCUAAAAUUCUGGGAUUUAAGGUAGCAUAAACUCUACUAGGAACUGUGCAAUCAAUAGUUCAAAUCUUUGUUGUCGACAAAACUACUGUUUGUCAGGCCAUUUCUGAUAGCAUAUAUGGAGCUGUGUCGAGGCUUAUGCUUUGUAACAGA